ACCGAGAUUCCCCCAGUAGCGGCGAGCGAACGGGGAGGAGCCCAGAGCCUGAAUCAGCAUGUGUGUUAGUGGAAGCGUCUGGAAAGGCGCGCGAUACAGGGUGACAGCCCCGUACACAAAAGCGCAUGUGCUGUGAGCUCGAUGAGUAGGGCGGGACACGUGGUAUCCUGUCUGAAUAUGGGGGGACCAUCCUCCAAGGCUAAAUACUCCUGACUGACCGAUAGUGAACCAGUACCGUGAGGGAAAGGCGAAAAGAACCCCGGCGAGGGGAGUGAAAAAGAACCUGAAACCGUGUACGUACAAGCAGUGGGAGC
rnacentral:rRNA from 1 species